UUGCUUGAAGUUCUCAUUCGACCUACUGGAGCUACACGUUACUUGCUCAGAAUAUUUUAUAGUUUCAAUUCGAGCACAACCAAAAAUUUUUUCUACUCUCGAAUUGACUAUAAAAUUUAUUUUAUUUUUAGACAUAUUUUUAUUUUUGUGAAAUUGUUAAUAUCCUUAGGGCUACAUUAGAAAAAAUGGCUUAUGUUCCACUUCGCGGAUUUAUGCCCAUCCUGAUGCGCACUGUGCCCUUAGCCAGCGGGGAAGUCAGACCAAGAUGAAGGACGAAGUACGUAAAGGAAUAAUUCCUGCCCGACAGUUGGCCCAGUUGGAUAGUUCCAAAGCCAAGAUGCACGCUCUGCGUCAUGUUUUUUUUUUCGAACUUUCAAGUUUAAUAUCGUAAAUUGAUAUUAAAACCGACGUUUCCAUUGCCUAUCAAAAUUGCAUAGAUGUGAAGAAAAAAUGUUCUAUAUUAACAUAUCGCGGAAUU